CCUACGGGUGGCUGCAGUGGGGAAUAUUGGACAAUGGGGGCAACCCUGAUCCAGCCAUGCCGCGUGUGUGAAGAAGGCCCUCGGGUUGUAAAGCACUUUCAGUGAGGAAGAACGCCUGGUGGUUAAUACCCAUCAGGAAAGACAUCACUCACAGAAGAAGCACCGGCUAACUCCGUGCCAGCAGCCGCGGUAAUACGGAGGGUGCGAGCGUUAAUCGGAAUUACUGGGCGUAAAGCGCGCGUAGGUGGCUUGAUAAGCCGGUUGUGAAAGCCCCGGGCUCAACCUGGGAACGGCAUCCGGAACUGUCAAGCUAGAGUGCAGGAGAGGGAGGUAGAAUUCCCGGUGUAGCGGUGAAAUGCGUAGAGAUCGGGAGGAAUACCAGUGGCGAAGGCGGCCUUCUGGACUGACACUGACACUGAGGUGCGAAAGCGUGGGUAGCAAACAGGAUUAGAUACCCCUGUAGUCC
rnacentral:rRNA from 1 species